rnacentral:rRNA from 1 species
AGAGUUUGAUCCUGGCUCAGAUUGAACGCUGGCGGCAGGCCUAACACAUGCAAGUCGAACGGUAACAGGAAGCAGCUUGCUGCUUUGCUGACGAGUGGCGGACGGGUGAGUAAUGUCUGGGAAACUGCCUGAUGGAGGGGGAUAACUACUGGAAACGGUAGCUAAUACCGCAUAACGUCGCAAGACCAAAGAGGGGGACCUUCGGGCCUCUUGCCAUCGGAUGUGCCCAGAUGGGAUUAGCUAGUAGGUGGGGUAAAGGCUCACCUAGGCGACGAUCCCUAGCUGGUCUGAGAGGAUGACCAGCCACACUGGAACUGAGACACGGUCCAGACUCCUACGGGAGGCAGCAGUGGGGAAUAUUGCACAAUGGGCGCAAGCCUGAUGCAGCCAUGCCGCGUGUAUGAAGAAGGCCUUCGGGUUGUAAAGUACUUUCAGCGGGGAGGAAGGGAGUAAAGUUAAUACCUUUGCUCAUUGACGUUACCCGCAGAAGAAGCACCGGCUAACUCCGUGCCAGCGGCCGCGGUAAUACGGAGGGUGCAAGCGUUAAUCGGAAUUACUGGGCGUAAAGCGCACGCAGGCGGUUUGUUAAGUCAGAUGUGAAAUCCCCGGGCUCAACCUGGGAACUGCAUCUGAUACUGGCAAGCUCGAGUCUCGUAGAGGGGGGUAGAAUUCCGGGUGUAGCGGUGAAAUGCGUAGAGAUCUGGAGGAAUACCGGUGGCGAAGGCGGCCCCCUGGACGAAGACUGACGCUCAGGUGCGAAAGCGUGGGGAGCAAACAGGAUUAGAUACCCUGGUAGUCCA